GGGGAUCUAGCUCAGUGGUAGAGCGCUUGCCUAGCAAGCGAAAGGCCCUGGGUUCGGUCUCCAGCUCCG
rnacentral:tRNA from 1 species